UGCCUCCCAGCAAUGGGCAAAGACACCUUGUUGGUGGUGUUGCUCCUAUAUAAUCAGGGGCAGAGCAAUUGGCAGACCUUUGUUCAUCCUAGCUUGAUGCCUGGCUUGGUGACUAAAGCUGUUUUAUGCUUGGGACAUAUUA